GCACACCGGUCGAACGAGACCCUAAUCAGAUGAGGUUCGCUCAUUCGUCGUCUCCUCUCCACUUCGGUCGGCGACGAGACGAUACAGCUUCCGUAACGGUGAGCGUUGAGCUUUAAUCGUCUUAAAUCGUCUUAACCUUCUUCGUGGCAGUGAGAAUUCAGCUUCAUCCCCUUAGCAUCAUCCCUAAUCCAAGAGAAAGUUUAUUUUCAGUACAAUGGCUACCUCAUCCCUCUUUAUCUCUGAUUUGGUCGUUGUUCUUCCAUAGUGGAGGUGCGGCUGAUUAGAUACUGUGAAGCCAGAAACUUUAAAGGUGGUGGCGAGUUGAUGUGUGUGACUGUGAUAUGCUUCUCUUUAACGCUAAGCGAUGAUGAGCCGUUCCUUGCAAGAAUUCAUGGGUAUUUCGAUGCUGAGAAUAGUGCUUCUUAUGAGAUCACUGAGGACAUGUUUGAGAAGGCUUCGUAUGUAAAACAACUUGAUCACUUAACCUUAGUCGAAAUUCAAGAACUGAUGGUCGGAGUUAGAUCCUUGGAACCAAUUUGGAGAACCAAGAGGCAGAGCAAGAGAAUGCCACUAAUCAGGCAUCUUCAGUUUCAAAAGUUCCUAGGCGCUACAUAGAUCGUUAUAUACUUGGGUUAACCAUCAAAUAUUCACUAUCUCUCAGCAUCCCGAGGGAAGGUGACCGUCUGUCACUACCGGACUUUUUUGCCAUUGAGGGCAAUGAUGAUGAUGGAGAUGCCUGGAACGUAUCAGGGCCUACUAAGGCUGAUGUUGGUGGUAAUGAUCGUGAGGAAUCACCAACUAUAGGAACAGCAGCACCGUCAUCUUCCAAGGUUGUCAAGAAGGCCUGAAUCGCAUAUGUGAAGAUCAUGAAGCACUUGGACGCAAUAUUUGCUAUUUGAAUAAUGCUAAGGCACCAUUUUUGUUUCCUUCUGCAGUUUGCUAUGUUUUUGCAGACAGUCUUCAAAAGUUCUGAUUCAGUUUGAACUAAUAUAAAGAUAUUUAUCACA